UCCAUUAUGAAAUAUAAUUAUUGUUAUGAUUUUGUACUGUAUGUAUUGUAUGGUCUCAUCAAAGGCUGUAUUCCUACACAAGUACCUUCUUGGGGAUUUUAAGGAAGAAAUGUUCUGUUGAAAAAAGCACUGUUAAAUCUUCCCUGAAAUAUAUUUGGAAAAGAAAAAGACAAACAAACACGCAACUGUACUGGCAUGAACUAUCAAACUCAGCAGGUGGGUAAAUUGUCUUUAAAAGAAUACGUCAUUCCUGCUGGAGAUGCAGCAGCAUCACAGCAGCCCCCAUACUGGGCCUCUGCAACACUCACAACCCGUAUGUGUCACACGAGCACUAACAUCUUUGAGGUCAAGCCCUCUGGGUGAAUCACAGGCAAACAGUGUUUGUCCCUGGGGUUCCAGCAUCAGCUUUUUAUCCAAUGUCAGUUUUCCUUUGACCGAGACUGAGGUGAAUCUAUAACCAGAUUUGAGCUUUUUUCUCCUAGUUUCGACUGCCUCACGGCAUAAUCUCCAUGAAUUCAAGACAGCGUCGACAACCCCUCCCAAGCAGACUGCAGUUACCUGACUGGCCAGGGGAGGUCACUGGUGAGCGCUGAGCUACUCGAGCCUUGCUCUUUGAAGCAGCAUUUACAGUAACAAGUUGGAAUCUCCUUGAAGAUGGCAGGCCUUAAUCGAAGGACCGAGGAGGCAAGGUCAGAUAAAAUAAGCGAAUGGAAUGAACCCCCAUCCUCCCUGGGUUAUGACGUGGCCACUUAUCCCAGCCGCAGUCGGUACAGGCGAGAAUGCCGUAUCAGACAGUGGGGCACACCCAUUGACAAGGACACUGUCUUAGCAAGAUGAACCACUCAACAGAUCCCUUUCUUAAACUAUUUAUAUUUAUACUAUCGAAAUUAAGUUUGAAAACUUAAGUUUUGGAGGAAGGAUUACACCAUCACACCUUCCUAUUACUAAUGAAUGCAAGUAUAUAAUGGAUGUAAUUACUGACCCAUCCUCCUUCUGUGCUGUGAUUUGCACAUCCCUCCUCCUCCACCACCAUUUACUUUCUUGUUCCUGUCAACAAUAAGUACCUUAUGACUUAAUUGAAUGUGAAAGCAUGUGGAUAUGACAGUGUGAAGUUAGUGUGAAGUACAGCAGGACUCACUCAUCCGCUAACUGCGGGAGAGAUCUCUUCCAUGGCUCUCACAGAGGAGAGGGCAUGUUUCUUCUGAAAGCAUUCGUUAAAUUUGUAUCAUGAGGCAAUGGUUCAUUUUAACGUUGUUGCUAAUUUACCAUUAAGAUCAUAAGAGAGAGUGCCUGAGCACUGUCCAUGUGAGGGGAUCCUGGGUUCAGUUUUAUGGGUGGUCAAAUGCUGUUGCACCCUGGGGCACUUUACAUAAGUUACAUACACUGUGGUAGAUACCCGGCUAUAUAAAUGAGUUACACAAUGUGUACAACACUGCAUCUUAAGUGAGUCCCAGAUAAUGACAAUCACUUCUCAAGUAAGUGAUAAUUGAUCUAGGUUUGGCAUGAAUUAUAGAUGUUUGUUUGUCCAUGGAGCAUGGCAUUGCAGGUUAACUUGGUGAUGGGAUAAACUGGAGACAUAUUCAAGAGCACCAAAUUGUAAGACUAAUUUUAAAAACUGAAACGGGACUGAAUUAAACAUCGGGUUCCAGAAAGUUGCAGGCAUGGCAGCUGAGAGAGCAAUGCUAUGAAACAGUGCACAUUAUACGGUGGCCAACUGCAGCAUUCUUGCAGUAUGCUACCCUCCCAGGCUCCCAUCAACCUAGUGGUGCCAACGUUCCGCAUAACACACCCACGGAACACCACAUGAGGAGUGUUGUAAAAUGUGAAAAACCGUUUGGUUCGAACUUCCUGUUCGAGAGCCAGAACAUUCAACACAAAACAUUAUGUCCUGCCUCCUGAACCGCAGAUACAAAAAAAAGUGUGAGACACCCACCUGAGCACAAGCCAAUAAGAUUCCCCCUCAAAACUUGCAACUGGUCAAAUGAAAGUUUAUAAAUGUCUUCUGAUCUGUCCUGGAAACACCUCAGAUAGAUCUUGCUAUUCCAAUACAAUUAUUUCACCCCCAAUGGUUACAGGCUAACUCUCUUUAACUUUCUACCAGAGGUUUGUAAAGUACUGACAACCUGGGCCCAAGUAUUGUUUCUUGAAAGAACAUGUAUUUUAGUUUAAGUAGAAGUAGACCUCCUAAACAUUACUUGAGUAAGAGUGAAAAAGUAUCUGGUCAGAAAACUACUGAAGUACUGAAGUGUGAAAAAAGAUAUUAUUUUAUUUAUAACACUUUAACUAUCGAGUGACAUAUGUGGUAUACAAAUUCCACAUUUAUUUCAUGUUUUUUUCCAUUCUCUCUAGUUAAAGUUACAAAAAUCAGCAUGUAUUUCUCCCCAACAUCUUAAUGAACACUUAACUCUUUUAUAUCCGUAGUGUUACGUUCCUUUGCUCUUUGAAUCUGCGCGCAUGUCUCAGUCCUGUAGGAGUUGCUGAUUAGGGCCUGAUUGCUGACGAUGCGCACCUGUGUCCACUUAACAGCCAAGUGGAUAAGGCCUGAAGAUGCCUCAGUUCAAUGGACUUUUUGAGAGAUUCCUUUUUGACUCAGACCCCUUUUAAGACGCUCUUUGCUUUUUGUGUGUUGUCCGUUGUCCGUUGUAGGUUGUAAGUUGUAGGUUGUCAGGCAGUUUCCUUGUUUUAACACAUUUUUAGAUGGUUAGGCCAGAUCUUGAAAUAGGUUGGAAGAUCAGCACUUAAUGAAAUCCAAGGAAAGUUUAGUUGGACAUUCCAAAUUCAUCACAAACCUUGACGACUCCUACCACACAUACACUGAGGCUGAUUUCAUGUGUGUUAUAUUAUUUGAAGAACACUGCAUAGGGUCUUUUUAGGAUGUUCUGCCAAAUUUACAGUGGAUUCUGUAAGUGCACUGUGGCUCAAUUCAGGGGGAAAUAUUCAAUCCACUGGUGAAGG